AUUGAAUUAACGUGGAGACUGAAAUGACUGUUUCCCUCCAAGGUAUAGAAUCCAGUUCUUUGGCCAGAAGACCUCUAGACUGUUGGUACAUUGACAAGGAGACAUCAGGGGAAUAAUCACAUUGGACAAAGAAAGCAUCCAUGUUUACCAAACGCCUUAGACAGUCAAGGUACCAAGGGAAGUUGACUCUUUACAGUGUGUCUAUAGGGAAAAGACUUUCAGCUGCUCUGAUCAAUGGCCAAUACACUAAGGAGACAAAUACAGCCUCCGUAGUUCAAUGCUCAUGCCACCAGGAAAAGACCAAAAUGAUACUGCAGUUUUAUGACCAAGAUAAUUCACCUGUUGUUGGAGUAAAUAUCCUGAAGAUUUAAGAAAGCUAGAAAAAU
rnacentral:lncRNA from 1 species